UCCUACGGGAGGCAGCAGUAGGGAAUUUUCGGCAAUGGGCGAAAGCCUGACCGAGCAAUGCCGCGUGAAUGAAGAAAUUCUUCGGAAUGUAAAAUUCUGUGGUGAGGGAAGAAAGGUAUUAGAAGGAAAUGGCUAAUAUUUGACGGUACCUUACUAGAAAGCCCCGGCUAACUAUGUGCCAGCAGCCGCGGUAAUACAUAGGGGGCAAGCGUUAUCCGGAAUUAUUGGGCGUAAAGCGUGCGUAGGCGGCCACUUAAGUCUGUCGUGAAAGCCCACAGCUUAACUGUGGAGGGUCGAUGGAAACUGAGAGGCUUGAAUCUAGGAGAGGUAAGUGGAAUUCCAUGUGUAGCGGUAAAAUGCUUAGAUAUAUGGAGGAACACCAGUGGCGAAGGCGGCUUACUGGUCUAGAAUUGACGCUGAUGCACGAAAGCGUGGGUAGCAAACAGGAUUAGAUACCCUGGUAGUCCACGCCGUAAACGAUGAGCACUAAGUGUCGGACGUAAGUUCGGUGCUGAAGUUAACGCAUUAAGUGCUCCGCCUGGGGAGUACGGUCGCAAGACUGAAACUCAAAGGAAUUGACGGGGACUCGCACAAGCGGUGGAGCAUGUGGUUUAAUUCGACGCAACGCGAAAAACCUUACCAGGCCUUGACAUACCGAUGACGUCUUUAGAGAUAGAGAGUUACCUUCGGGUACAUCGGAUACAGGUGGUGCAUGGUUGUCGUCAGCUCGUGUCGUGAGAUGUUGGGUUAAGUCCCGCAACGAGCGCAACCCUUAUCAUUAGUUGCUAACAGUCAGAUGAGCACUCUAAUGAGACUGCCAGCGAAAAGUUGGAGGAAGGUGGGGAUGACGUCAAAUCAUCAUGCCCCUUAUGGCCUGGGCUACACACGUGCUACAAUGGCUGGUACAAAGAGGAGCAAAGCUGUGAAGUGGAGCAAAUCUCAAAAAGCCAGUCUCAGUUCGGAUUGUAGUCUGCAACUCGACUACAUGAAGUUGGAAUCGCUAGUAAUCGUAAAUCAGCAUGUUACGGUGAAUACGUUCUCGAGUCUUGUACACACCGCCCGUCACACCAUGAGAGUUUGUAAUACCCGAAGCCGGUGGCUUAACCGCAAGGAGAGAGCCGUCUAAGGUAGGACAGAUGAUUGGGGUGAAGUCGUAACAAGGUAUCCCUACGAGAACG
rnacentral:rRNA from 1 species